rnacentral:rRNA from 1 species
UAAGGAAUAUUGGUCAAUGGACGCAAGUCUGAACCAGCCAUGCCGCGUGAAGGAUGAAGGUCCUCUGGAUUGUAAACUUCUUUUAUCUGGGACGAAAACGGGAUUUUUAUCUCAAUUGACGGUACCAGAGGAAUAAGCACAGGCUAACUCCGUGCCAGCAGCCGCGGUAAUACGGAGGGUGCGAGCGUUAUCCGGAUUUACUGGGUUUAAAGGGUGCGUAGGUGGGCUUAUAAGUCAGUGGUGAAAUCUCCGAGCUUAACUUGGAAACUGCCGUCGAUACUAUAGGUCUUGAAUUAUCUGGAGGUAAGCGGAAUAUGUCAUGUAGCGGUGAAAUGCUUAGAUAUGACAUAGAACACCUAUUGCGAAGGCAGCUUACUACAUAUAAAUUGACGCUGAGGCACGAAAGCGUGGGGAUCAAACA